rnacentral:rRNA from 1 species
GGUUAAGCGAAUAAGCGUACACGGUGGAUGCCUAGGCAAUCAGAGGCGAUGAAGGACGUGCUAAUCUGCGAAAAGCGUCGGUAAGGUGAUAUGAACCGUUAUACCCGACGAUAUCCGAAUGGGGAAACCCAGUAUCCAAUGGAUACUAUCAUUAACUGAAUCCAUAGGUUAAUGAGGCGAACCGGGAGAACUGAAACAUCUCAGUACCCCGAGGAAAAGAAAUCAACCGAGAUUCCCCUAGUAGCGGCGAGCGAACGGGGAGCAGCCCAGAGUCUUAAUCAAUAGCAGUGUCAGGAGAACGGUCUGGAAAGUCCGGCAGUAAAGGGUGAUAGCCCCGUAUCUGAAGAUGCUGUUAUUGUGAACUCGACGAGUAGGGCGGGACACGUGUUAUCCUGUCUGAAUAUGGGGGGACCAUCCUCCAAGGCUAAAUACUCCUGAUUGACCGAUAGUGAACCAGUACCGUGAGGGAAAGGCGAAAAGAACCCCGGCGAGGGGAGUGAAAAAGAACCUGAAACCGUGUACGUACAAGCAGUAGGAGCCUCUUUAUGGGGUGACUGCGUACCUUUUGUAUAAUGGGUCAGCGACUUAUAUUCUGUAGCAAGGUUAACCGUAUAGGGGAGCCGUAGGGAAACCGAGUCUUAACUGGGCGAAUGAGUUGCAGGGUAUAGACCCGAAACCCGGUGAUCUAUCCAUGGGCAGGUUGAAGGUUGGGUAACACUAACUGGAGGACCGAACCGACUAAUGUUGAAAAAUUAGCGGAUGACUUGUGGAUGGGGGUGAAAGGCCAAUCAAACCGGGAGAUAGCUGGUUCUCCCCGAAAGCUAUUUAGGUAGCGCCUCGUGAACUCAUCUUCGGGGGUAGAGCACUGUUUCGACUAGGGGGUCAUCCCGACUUACCAACUCGAUGCAAACUGCGAAUACCGAAGAAUGUUAUCACGGGAGACACACGGCGGGUGCUAACGUCCGUCGUGAAGAGGGAAACAACCCAGACCGCCAGCUAAGGUCCCAAAGUCAUGGUUAAGUGGGAAACGAAGUGGGAAGGCUCAGACAGCCAGGAUGUUGGCUUAGAAGCAGCCAUCAUUUAAAGAAAGCGUAAUAGCUCACUGGUCGAGUCGGCCCGCGCGGAAGAUGUAACGGGGCUAAACCAUGCACCGAAGCUGCGGCAGCGACANNNNNNNNNNNNNNNNNNNNNNNNNNNNNNNNNNNNNNNNNNNNNNNNNNNNNNNNNNNNNNNNNNNNNNNNNNNNNNNNNNNNNNNNNNNNNNNNNNNNNNNNNNNGUUGUUGGGUAGGGGAGCGUUCUGUAAGCCUGCGAAGGUGUACUGUGAGGUAUGCUGGAGGUAUCAGAAGUGCGAAUGCUGACAUAAGUAACGAUAAUGCGGGUGAAAAACCCGCACGCCGGAAGACCAAGGGUUCCUGUCCAACGUUAAUCGGGGCAGGGUGAGUCGACCCCUAAGGCGAGGCUGAAAAGCGUAGUCGAUGGGAAACGGGUUAAUAUUCCCGUACUGGUGGUAACUGCGAUGGGGGAACGGAGAAGGCUAGGUUGUCCGGGCGACGGUCGUCCCGGUUCAAGCAGGUAGGCAGAGUGAUUAGGCAAAUCCGGUCACUUAAUGCUGAGAUGUGAUGACGAACCACUAAGGUGGUGAAGCAAUUGAUGCCCCGCUUCCAGGAAAAGCCUCUAAGCUUCAGGUUACCAACAAUCGUACCCCAAACCGACACAGGUGGUCAGGUAGAGAAUACUCAGGCGCUUGAGAGAACUCGGGUGAAGGAACUAGGCAAAAUGGUGCCGUAACUUCGGGAGAAGGCACGCUGGCGGUAGGUAAAGUCCCUUGCGGACGGCGCUGAAGCCAGUCGAAGAUACCAGCUGGCUGCAACUGUUUAUUAAAAACACAGCACUGUGCAAACACGAAAGUGGACGUAUACGGUGUGACGCCUGCCCGGUGCUGGAAGGUUAAUUGAUGGGGUCAGCCGUAAGGCGAAGCUCCUGAUCGAAGCCCCAGUAAACGGCGGCCGUAACUAUAACGGUCCUAAGGUAGCGAAAUUCCUUGUCGGGUAAGUUCCGACCUGCACGAAUGGCGUAAUGAUGGCCAGGCUGUCUCCACCCGAGACUCAGUGAAAUUGAACUCGCUGUGAAGAUGCAGUGUACCCGCGGCAAGACGGAAAGACCCCGUGAACCUUUACUAUAGCUUGACACUGAACAUUGAGCCUUGAUGUGUAGGAUAGGUGGGAGGCUUUGAAGUGUGGACGCCAGUCUGCAUGGAGCCAACCUUGAAAUACCACCCUUUAACGUUUGAUGUUCUAACCUAGGCCCAUAAACUGGGUCGGGGACCGUGUCUGGUGGGUAGUUUGACUGGGGCGGUCUCCUCCUAAAGAGUAACGGAGGAGCACGAAGGUUGGCUAAGCAUGGUCGGACAUCAUGCGGUUAGUGCAAAGGCAUAAGCCAGCUUGACUGCGAGAGUGACGGCUCGAGCAGGUACGAAAGUAGGUCUUAGUGAUCCGGUGGUUCUGAAUGGAAGGGCCAUCGCUCAACGGAUAAAAGGUACUCCGGGGAUAACAGGCUGAUACCGCCCAAGAGUUCAUAUCGACGGCGGUGUUUGGCACCUCGAUGUCGGCUCAUCACAUCCUGGGGCUGAAGUAGGUCCCAAGGGUAUGGCUGUUCGCCAUUUAAAGUGGUACGCGAGCUGGGUUUAGAACGUCGUGAGACAGUUCGGUCCCUAUCUGCCGUGGGCGUUGGAAGAUUGAGAGGGGUUGCUCCUAGUACGAGAGGACCGGAGUGAACGCACCACUGGUGUUCGGGUUGUCAUGCCAAUGGCAUUGCCCGGUAGCUAAGUGCGGAAGAGAUAACCGCUGAAAGCAUCUAAGCGGGAAACUUGCCUCGAGAUGAGUCUUCCCUGUCGCUUUAAGCGACCUAAAGGAACGUUUAAGACUAAGACGUUGAUAGGCUGGGUGUGUAAGCGUAGCGAUACGUUGAGCUAACCAGUACUAAUGAACCGUGAGGCUUAACCUG